rnacentral:rRNA from 1 species
GUGAGGGAAAGGUGAAAAGUACCCCGGGAGGGGAGUGAAAAAGAACCUGAAACCUUGUGCCUACAAGCACCGAGAGUCCGUUAAUGGAUGAUCGGGUACUUUUUGUAGAACGGUCCGGCGAGUUAAUAUUUGCAGCGAGGUUAAGGAACUGGAGUUCCGGAGCCGCAGCGAGAGCGAGUCUGAAAAGGGCGUAUGAAGUUGCAGGUAUUAGACCCGAAACCGGGUGACCUAUCCAUGAGCAGGCUGAAGCGGUGGUAAGACACCGUGGAGGGCCGCACCCACGUCUGUUGAAAAAGCCGGGGAUGACUUGUGGAUAGCGGAGAAAUUCCAAUCGAACUCGGAGAUAGCUGGUUCUCCCCGAAAUAGCUUUAGGGCUAGCCUCAUGUUAGAUAUCCGGAGGUAAAGCACUGAAUGGCCUAGCGUCCGAGAGGAUAGCGAAGCCUAUCAAACUAAGAAUGCCGGAAUAUUGAUGCAUGGGAGUCAGACAGUGUGAGAUAAAUCUCAUUGUCAAAAGGGAAACAGCCCAGAUCUACAGCUAAGGUCCCAAAUUGUAUCUAAGUGGAAAACGAUGUGGAAAUACGCAGACAACCAGGAUGUUGGCUCAGAAGCAGCCACUCAUUUAAAGAGUGCGUAAUAGCUCACUGGUCGAGCGUCUCUGCGCGGAAAAUUUAACGGGGCUAAGAUACAAACCGAAGCUUAGGCUGCACUUUUAGUGCGGGGUAGGGGAGCGUUGUGUAAGCGGAGAAACAGUAGCGGAAGCGGCUGUGGAGUUUACAGAAGUGAGAAUGCCGGAAUGAGUAGCGCGAAUGAUGUGAGAAUCAUCAUGGCCGGAAACCUCAGGUUUUUGGAGGAAGGUUCGUCCGCUCCAAGUUAGGCGGGAGCUAAGGUGAGGCCGAAAGGCGUAGCCGAUGCACAGACGGUAGAGAUUCCGUCCCCACCGAAAGAUUUAAGCGCAGGGACACUUUUAGAAGGUCGGAGCCAGGUGUUGGUUCUGGUAGAGAUCGAGGGAAAUUUAGUACCGAAGUCCGGCUGGAUAAGAGGCGAGAAAAGCUGCGUGUAUAUCUAAGGUGCCCGUACCGCAAACCGACACAGGUAGGUAGGAAGAAGAUUCUAAGGCCAACGGGAGAAGGGUUGUUAAGGAACUCGGCAAAUUGACCCCGUAACUUCGGGAGAAGGGGUGCUCCAGAGAUGGAGCCGCAGAGAAUCGGCCCAAGCAACUGUUUACCAAAAACACAGGUUUGUGCUAAAUCGAAAGAUGACGUAUACGAGCUGACGCCUGCCCGGUGCUGGAAGGUUAAGAGGAGAUGUGCAAGCAUUGAAUCGAAGCCCCAGUGAACGGCGGCCGUAACUAUAACGGUCCUAAGGUAGCGAAAUUCCUUGUCAGGUAAGUUCUGACCCGCAUGAAAGGCGUAAUGAUUUGGGCACUGUCUCAACAGCCCGCCCGGCGAAAUUGUAGUACCGGUGAAGAUGCCGGUUACCCGCGACAAGACGGAAAGACCCCAUGGAGCUUUACUGUAGCCUAAUAUUGGGUUUCGAUGUUGCAUGCACAGGAUAGAUGGGACUCUGGGAAACCAGUGCUUUGGCGCUGGCGGAGAGGCCGUUGGGAUACCAUCCUUGCGAUAUUGGAAUUCUAACCUGCGGCUCUGAAUCGAGUCGGGGGACAUUGUUAGGUGGGCAGUUUGACUGGGGCGGUCGCCUCCUAAAAAGUAACGGAGGCGUUCAAAGGUUCGCUCAGCUUGAACGGAAAUCAAGCAAAAGAGUGCAAACGCAGAAGCGAGCCUAACUGCGAGACUGACGGGUCGAGCAGUAACGAAAGUUGGAGUUAGUGAUCCGGUGGUAUGUGAGUGGAAAUGCCAUCGCUCAACGGAUAAAAGUUACCCUGGGGAUAACAGGCUGAUCUCCCCCAAGAGUCCACAUCGACGGGGAGGUU